GGAUUAACCCGCGGUACCUUUCGCAUUUCCGAAGCAAAAACUCACUGUAUCUUCUUUUCAUGCCUCUCUCACCGAACCCUCUCGCCAGAAAACCUUCAUUUCAUUCGGAAAAUUUUCGAGGCCAAAUCUCUGAUUUCCUUUGUAAUUUGUCUCUCUAAGAAAGAGAAAUGGUGAAAGAAGAACAAAAAGUUUCCUCAAAUGUCAAAAUCGAACCCCAAUUUUUUCAAUUAAAAGUAAAUUUGAGUGAAACCCUAAUUUGUUCUUCAGCUUUCUAGUUUGCUGUUCGGGUUUGAAGAUUUAACAUGAUCAGGAUUCAGGUAUCGUCAACAUCAGUAGGAAUCCUUGUGGAUCUUUGACGGUGUUACGACUCUGUGGAGACUGCCUCAUUUUUGGUAGCCUUAGAAGUUUGUUAUAAAGAGAUAGAAUGACAAUCAUUUACUCAAGAUAACUUAUCCACAUCUGAGUUCUGACAAGCAUUCAGUGAACUUUUACUUGUUUAGAGUUGGGGGAUAUCUGUAGAAAAGUUGGUCUACCUCCUGGUGUACUCAACAUUGUAACUGGAUUAAGUCCUGAAGCAGGUGCUCCUUUAGCGUCCCAUCCUCAUUUCGACAAGGUGAUUGAAUGUAAGGGCCUUUAAAUGGUUCGUUAAAGCUGGAGUUUGGUACCGAAAGAAGCAAUAUCGCAUUGCUCCAGAAUGGGAACCUCGAAAGAUCUACAGGCUCAUGACAUCCAUGUGAUUUUGUUUUCGUUUAUGUAUAGUAUAGGCAAUAUCGCAUUGCUCCAGAAUGAGAACCUCGAAAGAUCUACGGUUUAGUAGUUACCAGCCAGUUACGAUAAUUAAUUAGUCAUACUUGUACAUGUACUCAUAGUGUGGAUUACGUAUACUUAAUGCAUGAGCCCAUGGUAUGAUUUUCAGUUGAGUAGCUUUCUAAUACUUGUGUUUGUCGUGAUUCGCCUUAGCUCUUAAUUGUUAUCAUUUGCAUUUGCUAAUGUGUGCUCUUAUUGAUACCGAGUAGGUUUCGUAAGAAUCAUACAGUUUGGAUGCGAAUUUAUGGCUUCUUAGACUCAACUAGUUUGAACCAAAGUGAAUGAGUACCUUGCUGUUUUAUUCAUUGGAUUCUUUCUAUCUUAAUUAUCAGUAGGUGUAACUGGUCCUGUUCUCCUCCGACAACUAUUAACCUUACGAACUUGCAGAGACAAGCACUUCUCUGUAAGAGGUUGGGUUCCUAUGCAAGAGCAGUCUGGUUCAGUGCUGGUUAUAGACUGGAUGAUACACAGUGGUCCUCUACUAAGGAUUGGAUUUCUUCUUGGUUUACAGAGUUGGACAGCUCCACCGUUGCUAAGAUGGCCACUAUCUGUUGGUUGGAAAGAGAGAUGUUCGACAGUGUUCGAAAACAAAUCUCAAAACCCUCUUCAGUUGGCAUAAUCCAUCUCCAGAUUUACCCUAAAUACAGUUGAAGUCCAAAAUUCCAUUACCAAUACUGUUAGGAAUGUUGUGCUGCAUAGAUGGAGCCCUCCUGUCAUCAAUCCUAUUAAACUAAAUACUGAUGCUUCUUAUUGUAAAAGUACAAAAACUGGAGGUUUGGGACUAUUAUUCCGUGAUUUUGCGGUA